AUUGAACGCUGGCGGCAUGCCUUACACAUGCAAGUCGAACGGCAGCACGGGUGCUUGCACCUGGUGGCGAUUGGCGAACGGGUGAGUAAUACAUCGGAACAUGUCCUGUAGUGGGGGAUAGCCCGGCGAAAGCCGGAUUAAUACCGCUUACGAUCUACGGAUGAAAGCGGGGGCCCUUCGGGCCUCGCGCUAUAGGGUUGGCUGAUAGCUGAUUAGCUAGUUGGUGGGGUAAAGGCCUACCAAGGCGACGAUCAGUAGCUGGUCUGAGAGGACGACCAGCUACACUGGGACUGAGACACGGCCCAGACUCCUACGGGAGGCAGCAGUGGGGAAUUUUGGACAAUGGGCGAAAGCCUGAUCCAGCAAUGCCGCGUGUGUGAAGAAGGCCUUCGGGUUGUAAAGCACUUUUGUCCGGAAAGAAAUCCUUGGCUCUAAUACAGUCGGGGGAUGACGGUACCGGAAGAAUAAGCACCGGCUAACUACGUG
rnacentral:rRNA from 1 species